UGGGGAAUAUUGCACAAUGGGCGCAAGCCUGAUGCAGCCAUGCCGCGUGUGUGAAGAAGGCCUUCGGGUUGUAAAGCACUUUCAGCGAGGAGGAAGGUGGUGAGCUUAAUACGCUCAUCAAUUGACGUUACUCGCAGAAGAAGCACCGGCUAACUCCGUGCCAGCAGCCGCGGUAAUACGGAGGGUGCAAGCGUUAAUCGGAAUUACUGGGCGUAAAAGCGCACGCAGGCGGUUUGUUAAGUCAGAUGUGAAAAUCCCCGGGCUCAACCUGGGAACUGCAUUUGAAACUGGCAAGCUAGAGUCUCGUAGAGGGGGGUAGAAUUCCAGGUGUAGCGGUGAAAUGCGUAGAGAUCUGGAGGAAUACCGGUGGCGAAGGCGGCCCCCUGGACGAAGACUGACGCUCAGGUGCGAAAAGCGUGGAGAGCAAAACAGGAUUAGAUACCCUGGUAGUCCACGCUGUAAAACGAUGUCGAUUUUGGAGGUUGUGCCCUUGAGGCGUGGCUUCCGGAGCUAACGCGUU
rnacentral:rRNA from 1 species